rnacentral:rRNA from 1 species
GACGAACGCUGGCGGCGUGCCUAAUACAUGCAAGUUGAGCGCUGAAGGUUGGUACUUGUACCAACUGGAUGAGCAGCGAACGGGUGAGUAACGCGUGGGGAAUCUGCCUUUGAGCGGGGGACAACAUUUGGAAACGAAUGCUAAUACCGCAUAAAAACUUUAAACACAAGUUUUAAGUUUGAAAGAUGCAAUUGCAUCACUCAAAGAUGAUCCCGCGUUGUAUUAGCUAGUUGGUGAGGUAAAGGCUCACCAAGGCGAUGAUACAUAGCCGACCUGAGAGGGUGAUCGGCCACAUUGGGACUGAGACACGGCCCAAACUCCUACGGGAGGCAGCAGUAGGGAAUCUUCGGCAAUGGAAGAAAGUCUGACCGAGCAACGCCGCGUGAGUGAAGAAGGGUGUCGGAUCGUAAAACUCGGUUGGUAGAGAAGAACGUUGGUGAGAGUGGAAAGCUCAUCAAGUGACGGUAACUACACAGAAAGGGACGGCUAACUACGUG